AGCAGUGGAACACAAGCCUGAGGAGGUGUCCUAGCUUGGGAUAGACAUCCAGACUCUUGAAAGAAGAUUUACACUGCUGUCUAGGCUGCUACACAUUCACUGCAAUGCAUGGACAUUCUAGUUGCUGCUGAAAAGUUGAAAGAAGCCCAGAGUAGCAUGCAGAGUCCGGACUGUGAGUCAUCUACCUUCAAUCCAGUCAUCAGUAUUGGAGUAUUCCCAUCCUAUGUGCCCAGACCAGGACAGCAGAAUACAACCUCGAGGAGGCCUCAAAGCCAGGGACAGCCACCCAGGCUGUUGGAACAGUGUUCAGACUCCUGCCUGAACUGACAAUGCCACAGAUGAUACAGAUAUUCUUUUGUUAAUUUUUUGCUGUUGUUGUUGUUAUGGUUUCAGUGUAGAAAAGAAUACCUGUGUUUUUCUUGUUAUGUUAAUCAUCUCCUGGCAUUGCAAAUCAGCAACCAGUUCUUGAAGUUUGACAUUUUCUACUGUAUUUGGAAACUUACUUUAUACGCAUACUCUUACUGUCUUUUCACAGCGAAAUCACGAUGUAAUUCAGUUUUACAAAUGCAAAUAGUUCAACCAAAGUUGCGCUCAGAUAAAUAAAUAUAUUUUAAAUGCA